rnacentral:rRNA from 1 species
CCUACGGGUGGCAGCAGUGGGGAAUAUUUCACAAUGGGCGAAAGCCUGAUGCAGCAACGCCGCGUGAAGGAAGAAGGGUUUCGGCUCGUAAACUUCUAUCAACAGGGACGAAAGAAAUGACGGUACCCGCAUAAGAAGCCCCGGCUAACUACGUGCCAGCAGCCGCCGUACUACGUAGGGGGCAAGCGGUAUCCGGAAUUACUGGGUGCAAAGGGUGAGUAGGCGGCAUGGUAAGCCAGAUGUGAAGGCCUUGGGCUUAACCCGAGGAUUGCAUUUGGAACUAUCAAGAGAGAGUACAGGAGAGGAAAGGGGAAUUCGGAGUGUAGCGGUGAAAUGCGUAGAGAUUAGGAAGAACACCAGUGGCGAAGGCGGC